rnacentral:rRNA from 1 species
UACGUAGGGGGCAAGCGUUGUCCGGAUUUAUUGGGCGUAAAGAGCGUGUAGGCGGCCAUGUAGGUCCGUUGUGAAAACUCGAGGCUCAACCUCGAGACGCCGAUGGAAACCAUGUGGCUAGAGUCCGGAAGAGGAGAGUGGAAUUCCUGGUGUAGCGGUGAAAUGCGCAGAUAUCAGGAAGAACAUCCGUGGCUAAGGCGGCUCUCUAGUACGGUACUGACGCUGAGACGCGAAAGCGUGGGGAGCGAACAGG